rnacentral:rRNA from 1 species
UGUGUGAAGAAGGCCUUAUGCGUUGUAAGGCACUUUUCGGCGAGGAGGACGUGCUACUUUUGUUCUACCUAGAGAUCGUUGGACGUUACUCGCAGAAUUAGCGCCGGCUAACUCUGUGCCAGCAGCCGCGGUAAUACAGAGGGUGCAAGCGUUAAUCGGAUUUACUGGGCGUAAAGCGCGCGUAGGCGGCUAAUUAAGUCAAAUGUGAAAUCCCCGAGCUUAACUUGGGAAUUGCAUUCGAUACUGGUUAGCUAGAGUGUGGGAGAGGAUGGUAGAAUUCCAGGUGUAGCGGUGAAAUGCGUAGAGAUCUGGAGGAAUACCGAUGGCGAAGGCAGCCAUCUGGCCUAACACUGACGCUGAGGUGCGAAAGCAUGGGGAGCAAACAGGAUUAGAUACCCUGAGUAGUCCAUGCCGUAAACGAUGUCUACUAGCCGUUGGGGCCUUUGAGGCUUUAGUGGCGCAGCUAACGCGAUAAGUAGACCGCCUGGGGAGUACGGUCGCAAGACUAAAACUCAAAUGAAUUGACGGGGGCCCGAACAAGCGGUGGAGCAUGUGGUUUAAUUCC